CAACGAGAACUUUCUCAAAUUCGUAGAACGCAGGGCUUGAGCUUAUUGCAAGCUCCUCCCUACGCGAAGAAUCUGGGGUAAAUUGGACUCAAACUCCACGCAACCUGGGGGUGGGAAUCUGUCAAUAAAUAAGGGUGAAAUCACGGGCAGUACUAUUAGUUCAAAUUCGCAUUAGAGCAGCAAUUAUCAGUGUGAUUUCUUGUUAGUGUAAAAAUCAACAUCAGAUGUAUUCUCUCGAUCGACCACCUGACGAACUGCCAUUACACCUUGUCUACCGUUUGGGAGUGUAAAUAUAUGUUUUAUAGUA